rnacentral:tRNA from 1 species
GAGGGUAUAGCUCAGUGGUGGAGUGUGUGCUUAGCAUGCAUGAAGUCCUGGGUUCAAUCCCAGUACUUCCA